rnacentral:misc_RNA from 1 species
GAUGAAGAACGUAGCGAAAUGCGAUAAGUAAUGUGAAUUGCAGAAUUCAGUGAAUCAUCGAAUCUUUGAACGCACAUUGCGCCCGCUAGUAUUCUGGCGGGCAUGCCUGUUCGAGCGUCAUUUCAACCAUCAAGCUCCUUAGCUUGUGUUGGGGACCUGCGGCUGCCGCAGGCCCUGAAAACCAGUGGCGGGCUCGCUGUCACACCGGGCGUAGUAGAUUUUAUCUCGCUCAGGGUGUGCUGCGGGUUCCGGCCGUUAAAAAGCCUUUUUUACCCAAGGUUGACCUCGGAUCAGGUAGGAAGACCCGCUGAACUUAAGCAUAUCAAUAAGCGGAGGA